UGGCUCAGAACGAACGCUGGCGGCAGGCUUAACACAUGCAAGUCGAACGCCCCGCAAGGGGAGUGGCAGACGGGUGAGUAACGCGUGGGAAUCUACCGUACCCUACGGAAUAACGCAUGGAAACGUGUGCUAAUACCGUAUACGCCCUUCGGGGGAAAGAUUUAUCGGGGUAUGAUGAGCCCGCGUUGGAUUAGCUAGUUGGUGGGGUAARGGCCUACCAAGGCGACGAUCCAUAGCUGGUCUGAGAGGAUGAUCAGCCACAUUGGGACUGAGACACGGCCCAAACUCCUACGGGAGGCAGCAGUGGGGAAUAUUGGACAAUGGGCGCAAGCCUGAUCCAGCCAUGCCGCGUGAGUGAUGAAGGCCCUAGGGUUGUAAAGCUCUUUCACCGGUGAAGAUAAUGAC
rnacentral:rRNA from 1 species